rnacentral:rRNA from 1 species
AGAGUUUGAUCCUGGCUCAGGACGAACGCUGGCGGCGCGCCUAACACAUGCAAGUCGAACGGAGUUAUUUUCUUCACUCCGAGCUUUUUGCCAGUUAGCCGGAGCGGCAAUCGGUUUUGCCCAGCAUAAAAAGCAAAACCGAUUUAGGCUCAUAAAGUAAGGCUAACACAGAGGGCAGAGAGUUGGGAGUGAAGAAAAUAACUUAGUGGCGAACGGGUGAGUAACGCGUGAGUAACCUGCCCUGGAGUGGGGGACAACAGUUGGAAACGACUGCUAAUACCGCAUAAGCCCACGGCCCGGCAUCGGGCUGCGGGAAAAGGAUUUAUUCGCUUCAGGAUGGACUCGCGUCCAAUUAGCUAGUUGGUGAGGUAACGGCCCACCAAGGCGACGAUUGGUAGCCGGACUGAGAGGUUGAACGGCCACAUUGGGACUGAGACACGGCCCAGACUCCUACGGGAGGCAGCAGUGGGGGAUAUUGCACAAUGGGGGAAACCCUGAUGCAGCGACGCCGCGUGGAGGAAGAAGGUCUUCGGAUUGUAAACUCCUGUUGUUGAGGAAGAUAAUGACGGUACUCAACAAGGAAGUGACGGCUAACUACGUGCCAGCAGCCGCGGUAAAACGUAGGUCACAAGCGUUGUCCGGAAUUACUGGGUGUAAAGGGAGCGCAGGCGGGAAGACAAGUUGGAAGUGAAAUCUAUGGGCUCAACCCAUAAACUGCUUUCAAAACUGUUUUUCUUGAGUAGUGCAGAGGUAGGCGGAAUUCCCGGUGUAGCGGUGGAAUGCGUAGAUAUCGGGAGGAACACCAGUGGCGAAGGCGGUCUACUGGGCACCAACUGACGCUGAGGCUCGAAAGCAUGGGUAGCAAACAGGAUUAGAUACCCUGGUAGUCCAUGCCGUAAACGAUGAUUACUAGGUGUUGGAGGAUUGACCCCUUCAGUGCCGCAGUUAACACAAUAAGUAAUCCACCUGGGGAGUACGACCGCAAGGUUGAAACUCAAAGGAAUUGACGGGGGCCCGCACAAGCAGUGGAGUAUGUGGUUUAAUUCGAAGCAACGCGAAGAACCUUACCAGGUCUUGACAUCCGAU